rnacentral:rRNA from 1 species
ACCUGCCUGUAAGAUCGGGAUAACGCCGGGAAACCGGGGCUAAUACCGGAUAGUUUUUUCCUCCGCAUGGAGGAAAAAGGAAAGACGGCUUCUGCUGUCACUUACAGAUGGGCCCGCGGCGCAUUAGCUAGUUGGUGGGGUAACGGCUCACCAAGGCAACGAUGCGUAGCCGACCUGAGAGGGUGAUCGGCCACAUUGGGACUGAGACACGGCCCAAACUCCUACGGGAGGCAGCAGUAGGGAAUCUUCCGCAAUGGACGAAAGUCUGACGGAGCAACGCCGCGUGAGUGAAGAAGGCCUUCGGGUCGUAAAACUCUGUUGCCGGGGAAGAACAAGUGCCGUUCGAACAGGGCGGCGCCUUGACGGUACCCGGCCAGAAAGCCACGGCUAACUACGUGCCAGCAGCCGCGGUAAUACGUAGGUGGCAAGCGUUGUCCGGAAUUAUUGGGCGUAAAGCGCGCGCAGGCGGCUUCUUAAGUCUGAUGUGAAAUCUUGCGGCUCAACCGCAAGCGGUCAUUGGAAACUGGGAGGCUUGAGUGCAGAAGAGGAGAGUGGAAUUCCACGUGUAGCGGUGAAAUGCGUAGAGAUGUGGAGGAACACCAGUGGCGAAGGCGGCUCUCUGGUCUGUAACUGACGCUGAGGCGCGAAAGCGUGGGGAGCAAACAGGAUUAGAUACCCUG